rnacentral:rRNA from 1 species
AGUGGACGCUGGCGGUAGGCCUAACACAUGCAAGUCGAACGGCAGCACAGUAAGAGCUUGCUCUUACGGGUGGCGAGUGGCGGACGGGUGAGGAAUACAUCGGAAUCUACUUUUUCGUGGGGGAUAACGUAGGGAAACUUACGCUAAUACCGCAUACGACCUACGGGUGAAAGCAGGGGAUCUUCGGACCUUGCGCGAUUGAAUGAGCCGAUGUCGGAUUAGCUAGUUGGCGGGGUAAAGGCCCGCCAAGGCGACGAUCCGUAGCUGGUCUGAGAGGAUGAUCAGCCACACUGGAACUGAGACACGGUCCAGACUCCUACGGGAGGCAGCAGUGGGGAAUAUUGGACAAUGGGCGCAAGCCUGAUCCAGCCAUACCGCGUGGGUGAAGAAGGCCUUCGGGUUGUAAAGCCCUUUUGUUGGGAAAGAAAAGCAGCAGGUUAAUACCCCGCUGUUCUGACGGUACCCAAAGAAUAAGCACCGGCUAACUUCGUG